CCUACGGGGGGCAGCAGUGAGGAAUAUUGGUCAAUGGGCGCGAGCCUGAACCAGCCAAGUCGCGUGAGGGAAGACGGUCCUAUGGAUUGUAAACUUCUUUUGUCGGGGAGCAAAAUCCGCCACGCGUGUCGUUCCGAGCGUACCCUACGAACAAGCAUCGGCUAACUCCGUGCCAGCAGCCGCGGUAAUACGGAGGAUGCGAGCGUUAUCCGGAUUUAUUGGGUUUAAAGGGUGCGCAGGCGGAAGAUCAAGUCAGCGGUAAAAUUGAGAGGCUCAACCUCUUCGAGCCGUUGAAACUGGUUGGCUUGAGAGAGUGGGAGGUAGGCGGAAUGCGGGGUGUAGCGGUGAAAUGCAUAGAUAUCACGCAGAACUCCGAUUGGGAAGGCAGCAUACCGGGGCUCAACUGACGCUCAUGCACGAAAGUGUGGGUAGCGAACAGGAUUAGAUACCCCUGUAGGC
rnacentral:rRNA from 1 species